rnacentral:rRNA from 1 species
UGGAGAGUUUGAUCCUGGCUCAGGACGAACGCUGGCGGCGUGCUUAACACAUGCAAGUCGAACGGAAAGGCCCCUUCGGGGGUACUCGAGUGGCGAACGGGUGAGUAACACGUGGGUGAUCUGCCCUGCACUUUGGGAUAAGCCUGGGAAACUGGGUCUAAUACCGAAUAGGACCGCAUGCUUCAUGGUGUGUGGUGGAAAGCUUUUGCGGUGUGGGAUGGGCCCGCGGCCUAUCAGCUUGUUGGUGGGGUAAUGGCCUACCAAGGCGACGACGGGUAGCCGGCCUGAGAGGGUGUCCGGCCACACUGGGACUGAGAUACGGCCCAGACUCCUACGGGAGGCAGCAGUGGGGAAUAUUGCACAAUGGGCGCAAGCCUGAUGCAGCAGCCGCGUGGGGGAUGACGGCCUUCGGGUUGUAAACCUCUUUCAGUAUCGGCGAAGCUCCAGGAUUUUUCUUGGGGUGACGGUAGGUACAGAAGAAGCACCGGCCAACUACGUGCCAGCAGCCGCGGUA